ensembl:lncRNA
AUUGUAUUGUAGUUUCUUCUAUUUUGAGUAGUCUUUUAAAAACAGCCGCCCAAUUCCGGGUCACGUGCAGAGCUCUUAAUUUAGUUUGGGCCACCAGGUGGGCGUGUGUCAUGGCUGCGUCUUCCUGUCUGUGGACAGGUAACCUGCUGUUGAGACUGUAGGCCUCCCUGAAGGACGUACAAAGAAAGAACACAGAGAUCAUGUUUAAAGUCACUGAAGUGGCACCUGUCUUCCCUUCGUUCAACAUUACUGACUUUAGUUAAACCAAAUGAGGGAACCAACGCCUCCAGACGGUGAUACUGCCUUGAAAAGAUGGAGAAUACUUGCAAAGCACGAAAAUCCUUAUCGGACUAAAGUGGACUCUAAUACGAAUUACAUGCAAAUAUUUUGGAGAAGGGAGUUUACUGAACUGAAGAAGCGGACUUGUAUCCCUGAAUCAUCUUCAGCAAGAGGACUUCUGUUGGUCCUGUUAGCGCACCCAGAUCUGCUGGUUUUCCCUCCUUGCAUGGAUCAUGUAUCACCUGUGCAGCUGUUCUUAAGCAUCCUGUCCUGUGUCUCCCUCUGCACACUAAAGAGAAAAUAAAUCCACAUGCUGACACUGCCACAAUGAAUGGUCCGGGCCACCGUCCCAUCAACCAUCUCUCCCAGCUCGGAAACAGAAGAAGUAGAAAAAGAAAAAAAGGAUAAUAGAUGUUGGAUCAGAGGACGGAGCAUCUCUUUUCCAUCUAACCCAUCUUUGCUAUGAAAGAAUAAAUUAAACUGGAAAAGAAAGAAG